GGAUGAGAAGCUGAGCUGGCUAUGACAUCUGUCACCCACUGAUCACCAGGGUGGAUUCCGCUGAUCUGGCUGGCAAAGCAAGUGUCCCCUUCUUCCCUCACUGCUUCAUCGGCAUCUGUCCCGAAGCUCCAUUCCCUGGGGAGGAGGAGGGCCAUCCCUGAGAGAAGAGGACCAUUCUUCAGUCAGGGGUGGACAAGCAGCGGCACUCCGCUUCUAGAACCUCCAACCAAGCUCUCAAAUCUUUUAGCUCAUCAUUUGCAUAUUUGCAUCCACGUCUGUAAGUCACUUACACAUAUUGCUACUUCUGAAUUCUUCCAUUUUAGGUAUUAUCUGU
ensembl:misc_RNA 7SK 7SK RNA